GCUGGCCAGUUCUCUGCAUGGGAGCAGCGGGGGUCACGUGGUGGGAUCACAGGAAGGCUAUUCUGGAGGAUCCUUGCCGGCUCCACACUGGGUGUCUGGUGGGGACGCUUCAGUGCAAUCUUGGGGACCCUCACGGACCCUCCAGGAGGCUAGGCCAGGGCAGCUGGGGGCCCUGAACAUCCCAGUGGGAACUGCCUGUCCUCUUACAGGCUGGGCCUGGGCUGGGCAAGGGGUCACAUCGGCCCUAGUCGGCUCGUCCAAGGGGGCAGGGGACACAGACUCCCGCCCACCUCCCACCCCCUCUCUGUAGGGGGAAACCAAAGAACCUGGACCUGACUGGUGUCCCACGGAGGAUCUGAAGCUGACUGAAGAGGCCAGGGUCUGCCCGGGGCCGGGGGCAGCUUAAAGGUGCAGCCACAUCUCUCCUGUGCAAACGGGCUACGGGGUCCUACAAAUGGCGUGUGGCAGGCUCACCUAGGCAGUACGGGGCCGGAUGAGGGCGCAGACUGCAUACUGAGGCCGGGUCACAGAAGGAAGCGUUGCCAGCACAGCAGGAUUUUUGGGGACCAGCUCCACACAGGGAAGCGGCACGGGGGCCGACGCAGCAAGGGCUGACGGAACACCACCUCGUGAAGACACUGUAAACCACGGGAUGCACAACAAAUCCCCGGCGCCUCCGGGCUGAGCGGACACGCGCCGGGCGGUCCCUGGAGCACCGGGGCAGGAGGAAGAGCCGCCACACCUUCUCUGCAGCCUCGUGUACGUAAUGCGUAUUUAUUGAAAAUUUUCUUCACCGACAAUGGUGAAAUCAAGACCCCAACUUACAAAACAUGAUGGCAGUUGAUACGUAGAAAAAUAAAGCCAAGGUCUGUGUUUCACAGAUUUGCGCAAGUUUCCUUCCAACCUCAGUCUGUCCUGGCAUCGAAAAGGAGAUCACGGAAUCUGUGUUAUUCCUCAUGACGCGACAGUAAAAAACCGCAUUCCACGGACAAAAAAAAAAAAUAGCUUUGCUUCCGAAGAGCGCCAGUCUUUAAAGUGACUUUUCCCAAUAAUAAAUAUAGAA